AGGGAAUGUAACUUGAUGUUAUCAGACAAGACAUAGAAUGAAAUAUCAGGAGCAAAACGUCUGUGGGUUUAAGAAGAAAAAGAGGAGAGAUCUAAUUUCUAUACACUUUAAGCAGCCAACAAGAAGAUCUCCCUUCAUAGGACAACAUGAAAUGCAUAAAGGAUCCUCAGACAGCGGAAUUUCAAUUAUCGACAUCUGGUCUCUGAAGCUUUCACAGAAGGGUGUCUCCACAUUAUGCCCGACCAUUCGAAUGCAGACACGGGAGUUUUCAGUCCUCUUACUCCUCCAAUUCAUGUAAGCACGCAGGAAUGUAGCUUUGUUUUUCUCUUCAAUUGCUACCAGAUAGUCUCCUAAAAAGGAAUCAAGAUUGCAUGUAAAAUUUAGAAUUAGAAAUUCAACUGCUUAAUUGGCUGCCUGAAAAUGGAAUGCAUAACAUAACACAACACAUGGAUCACUGACUCACAGGACAAGAACUGCCCUCUGAGGGACAGAGGUAUGUGUUAAGUUACCUCAGUCACGCAAGUUCAUCCUCUUACCGCAGUUGGAAGCUUCUGUCACAGCUGCAACAAUAUGCAUGUAACUUAGAAAAUUCAGGUUUUAAAGAAUUAAGGGAGGGACUCUUGAGUUUAACAGAAUUUACAUUUGGCAUUUCCUUCCCUUCCUAAAGAAGUCACAACUCAGAAAAGUAAGAAAACUAGAGAUACCAAAUAAAAUAUAAAACCAAGUCAAUAUUCUUUUAACUAUUGAUUAUAUGGGAUUGUUUUAACUGUAAAAGUAACAUUUGUUGUAGAAACCAAACUGGCUAAGUACAAAAUGAAUGCAUAUUAACCUCCCCCGUUAGUCUCAUCCUUAAGGACUAACGUUCACAGUCUGGUGUGUGACCUUCCAAAUACUUUCUUUCUUAUAAACAUGGGUUACAUCAAGGCUUUUUGUCUUUUUUAUACAUCACACCAAUCUAUUUAACAAUGUGCCAUUUUUAAAUUCAUGUUUAACUUAAUAAUCACAUUUUGUUGUAACAAUACCUGCUUUAUGAAUUAACAACCUCAAGCAUAUAGAUUAGUAAGUUUCUUUGGGGAAAAAGGUUCAAGUAACUACACAGCAUAAACACAAAAUAGAAAUAACCUCCAAUUAUUUAAACAACAAAUGUAUCUUUUCCCCCAUGGUGAUACAUAGCUAUCCACCACCCACCAUCCCAACGUAACAUACAGACAUGUGGAUACCUAUAAAAUAUCUUAUAAACACAUGUGCCGUAAAUAUUUAAUAGUUCACCUAUUAAUGUGAUUACUACUAUACUUUAUUUGGUAACAAAUAAGCCUAUAUGUAUAUAAUUUGUUUUUUGUUGGAAAUUUAUGUUCGGCUACAGACCAAGAGUAUUUUAAACUUUAUUAGAAACUGUCAAGUUACCUACAUAAUUAGGUAACGGAAGUUCACACUACCAGCAAAGCUAGUUAUACAUGCCUGUUUCCUACCAUCUCAGGGUAUAUAGGAUAUAUCCAGUCUCACCUUGGACUCACUAUAUAGACCAGGCUGUCCUCAGACUUGCCAUGAUUCUCCUGCCCUGGCCUUCUGAGUGCUUAUGCCAUCAUACCCACCUACUUUGUGGUAAUUUUAAAGUAAGGAACUAUACUAUGGUAUUUGAGUAUAUCACUGUAACUUUAAUUUGCAUUUCUCUGAUGUUUAGUGAUGUAGAGUCCCUUUUAUGUGCUUUUGGACAUUUGCAUGUUUUCUUCAGAGAACUGUAUAUUCAAGUCCUUUGCUGUAUAUGCACUGCUAGGGAUCAAACCCAGCACCUCAUGUGUGCUAGACAAAUGCUCUUUCAGUUGGCCAUAUAUUCCACUUCUAUUUGCUCAUUACAAAAAUAAAUUGAUCUGUUUUUCUCUCA